rnacentral:tmRNA from 1 species
GGGGCUGUAACGGUUUCGCUCAGGGUUAAAGCCAACGCGCACUCUCUGAGACAGGGGUUCGACUCCCCUCAGCUCCACUC